rnacentral:rRNA from 1 species
GAUGAACGCUGGCGGCGUGCCUAAUACAUGCAAGUAGAACGCUGAAGGAGGAGCUUGCUCUUCUGGAUGAGUUGCGAACGGGUGAGUAACGCGUAGGUAACCUGCCUGGUAGCGGGGGAUAACUAUUGGAAACGAUAGCUAAUACCGCAUGACAACAGUUAUUGCAUGAUAACUGUUUAAAAGGGGCAACUGCUCCACUACCAGAUGGACCUGCGUUGUAUUAGCUAGUUGGUGAGGUAACGGCUCACCAAGGCGACGAUACAUAGCCGACCUGAGAGGGUGAUCGGCCACACUGGGACUGAGACACGGCCCAGACUCCUACGGGAGGCAGCAGUAGGGAAUCUUCGGCAAUGGAAGGAAGUCUGACCGAGCAACGCCGCGUGAGUGAAGAAGGUUUUCGGAUCGUAAAGCUCUGUUGUAAGAGAAGAACGAGUGUGAGAGUGGAAAGUUCACACUGUGACGGUAUCUUACCAGAAAGAGACGGCUAACUACGUG